GCGAGCGUAGUUCAACGGUAGAAUAGUUUCUCAUCUAUUUUCUUCAAAAUACAACUAUGUUAGGUUCAACUCCUGCCGCUCGCA
rnacentral:tRNA from 1 species